rnacentral:rRNA from 1 species
AUUGAACGCUGGCGGCAGGCCUAACACAUGCAAGUCGAGCGGAGCGGCGGACGGGUGAGUAAUGACUAUGAAUCGGCCUGGUAGUGGGGGAUAAAGUCCGGACACGGGCGCUAAUACCGCAUACUCUCAGAUGAGCCUAGGUGGGAUUAGCUAGUUGGUAGGGUAAAGGCCUACCACGUCGACGAUCCGUAACUGGUCUGAGAGGAUGAUCAUUCACACUGGAACUGAGACACGGGCCAGACUCCUACGGGAGGCAGCAGUGGUGAAGAUUGGACAAUGGGCGAAAGCCUGAUGCAGCCAUGCCGCGUGUGUGAAGAAGGCCAUCGGGUUGUAAAGCACUUUAAGUCGGGAGGCGUUACCAACAGAAUAAGCACCGGCUAACUUCGUGCCAGCAGCCGCGGUAAUAC